CACAUUUUUUCAAAUUUUUGUUAAAUCCAAAUAAUUUUGCGACAUGUAAGAAAAUAUGUAUGUUAAAAUUAUUAGAUCGUCAAAUAACAUUUCGAAUGACAGAAAAAAUCAUGGAGUACGUAACGGUUUCCCUUUGAACAUCUCAAAAAAAAAGGAACGAAGAUCGAGCACCAAAUUCACGGGAGAUAUUUUCCAAGGGAGCAACAUGCAAUCGAAUUGAAGAACAACAAUACCAGCCGAAGAUCUGUUGCUGUUGUUGACCAACAAAACUCUGCUGCAUUCCAAACCCUAAGCCAUGGCAUUUCUUCUGUGUUUUACUCAGCGAACAGCGAUGACAAAGCUUAGCAUUAAACGGUGCGAAGUCGUGGCGUUAAGACGUGAUUUGAAUUCAAUCUUAGGGUAAAUCACAGAUUCAGAGAUGUCAUAACUAAGCUAACUGAAAACAGCAGAAAUUGUGUAAAAAAAAGUGGGGCUGGCCCAGAAGAGGCGUCUCUUCAAAACGGCAAUUUGCAAUCUUUAAUUCUGAAAAUAAAAACAA